GACGAACGCUGGCGGCGUGCCUAAUACAUGCAAGUAGAACGCUGAAGAGAGGAGCUUGCUCUUCUUGGAUGAGUUGCGAACGGGUGAGUAACGCGUAGGUAACCUGCCUUGUAGCGGGGGAUAACUAUUGGAAACGAUAGCUAAUACCGCAUAACAAUGGAUGACACAUGUCAUUUAUUUGAAAGGGGCAAUUGUUCCACUACAAGAUGGACCUGCGUUGUAUUAGCUAGUAGGUGAGGUAAUGGCUCACCUAGGCGACGAUACAUAGCCGACCUGAGAGGGUGAUCGGCCACACUGGGACUGAGACACGGCCCAGACUCCUACGGGAGGCAGCAGUAGGGAAUCUUCGGCAAUGGGGGCAACCCUGACCGAGCAACGCCGCGUGAGUGAAGAAGGUUUUCGGAUCGUAAAGCUCUGUUGUAAGUCAAGAACGGGUGUGAGAGUGGAAAGUUCACACUGUGACGGUAGCUUACCAGAAAGGGACGGCUAACUACGUG
rnacentral:rRNA from 1 species